ACUCCUACGGGAGGCAGCAGUAGGGAAUCUUCCACAAUGGGCGCAAGCCUGAUGGAGCAACACCGCGUGAGUGAAGAAGGGUUUCGGCUCGUAAAGCUCUGUUGUUAAAGAAGAACACGUAUGAGAGUAACUGUUCAUACGCUGACGGUAUUUAACCAGAAAGUCACGGCUAACUACGUGCCAGCAGCCGCGGUAAUACGUAGGUGGCAAGCGUUAUCCGGAUUUAUUGGGCGUAAAGAGAGUGCAGGCGGUUUUCUAAGUCUGAUGUGAAAGCCUUCGGCUUAACCGGAGAAGUGCAUCGGAAACUGGAUAACUUGAGUGCAGAAGAGGGUAGUGGAACUCCAUGUGUAGCGGUGGAAUGCGUAGAUAUAUGGAAGAACACCAGUGGCGAAGGCGGCUACCUGGUCUGCAACUGACGCUGAGACUCGAAAGCAUGGGUAGCGAACAGGAUUAGAUACCCUGGUAGGAUAGCG
rnacentral:rRNA from 1 species